CACACAAUCCUCCAAAAUCAUGGAAAUACAGCUCUCUUUGAAUCAUAUUUCACUUGCAGAAUAAGAAUUCUCUCCUAAUUAUUUCCUCCUAUAAACAAACAUUGGACCUAACCUUAAAAAUUCCCAUAAAACAUACACACACAUACUCAGACAGAAGUAAUCACAGAAACAUUAGGCACUUGUGAUGGAGAAAAGGCCAAGAAUAUCAACAUGGCCAUUAUCAACACCGGGACAAGGAGGAACAACGGCGGCGGCGGCGGAAGUGGUGGCAGAACCAGUGGUAACACCAAGAGUGAUAGUGUGAAGAUAACCAUAACAAGCACCCCUCCCAAAGCAGAGUUUCUGAACAUCAAACUCUUCAAUGGCCUAUCACUUUUCACCUCCUCGAAAGCCAGUCUUUCUUCAAUUCUGUACAUCUUCAUCUUCUUCCAUUACACUAAAAAGUAAAAACAAUGAUCUUGAUGUGUAUAUAUACUUGUUGUAUGUAUAUAUAUGGAGGUGGACUGUGGGGGUGGGGUGAGGGAUAUUCAAACAGACAAAAAGCUGACCAAACGAAAAUAUGAUAUGUCAAAGUUUGGGUUGGGUUCAUAGGAUCAU
rnacentral:lncRNA from 1 species